UACGGGGGGAGCAAGCGUUGUUCGGAUUUACUGGCGUAAAGGGCGCGUAGGCGGUCAGCACAAGUCAGUUGUGAAAUCUCCGGGCUUAACUCGGAAAGGUCAACUGAUACUGUGCGACUAGAGUGCAGAAGGGGCAACUGGAAUUCUCGGUGUAGCGGUGAAAUGCGUAGGUAUCGAGAGGAACACCUGCGGCGAAGGCGGGUUGCUGGGCUGACACUGACGCUGAUGCGCGAAAGCCAGGGGAGCGAACGGG
rnacentral:rRNA from 1 species